rnacentral:rRNA from 1 species
GUGGGGAAUCUUCCGCAAUGGACGAAAGUCUGACGGAGCAACGCCGCGUGAGUGAAGAAGGUUUUCGGAUCGUAAAGCUCUUUCGUUAGGGACGAACGUGCUCUUUGUGAAUAAUGAGGAGUAAUGACGGUACCUAAAUAAGAAGCCACGGCUAACUACGUGCCAGCAGCCGCGGUAAUACGUAGGUGGCAAGCGUUGUCCGGAAUUAUUGGGCGUAAAGCGCGCGCAGGCGGGAUAUCAAGUCUGUCUUAAAAGUGCGAGGCUCAACCUCGUGAGGGGAAAGAAACUGGUAUUCUUGAGUGUCGGAGAGGAAAGUGGAAUUCCAAGUGUAGCGGUGAAAUGCGUAGAGAUUUGGAAGAACACCAGUGGCGAAGGCGACUUUCUGGACGAUGUCUGACGCUGAGGCGCGAAAGCUAGGGGAGCGAACGGGAUUAGAUACCCUGGUAGUCC